CGGUUAAGUCCGCUAACGAGCGCAACCCUCGCUGUGUGUUACAAGUGUCACACGGAACUGCCGGUCAUAAACCGGAGGAAGGUGGGGAUGACGUCAAGUCAGCAUGGCCUUUAUAUCCUGGGCUACACACACGCUACAAUGGGAAGGGACAAUAGGUUGCGAAACCGCGAGGUGGAGCCAAUCCAGCAAAACUUCCCUCAGUUCAGAUUGCAGGCUGCAACUCGCCUGCAUGAAGUUGGAGUUGCUAGUAAACGCAGGUCAGCCAUACUGCGUUGAAUACGUUCCCGGGGCUU
rnacentral:rRNA from 1 species